UUACUCACUUUGGCAGCACAUAUACUAAAAUUACAAUGAUACAGAGGUGAUUAACAUGGCCCCUGAACAAGUAUGACAUGCACUUUCAUGAAGAGGUCCAUAUUUUU
rnacentral:snRNA from 1 species